rnacentral:tRNA from 1 species
GCCGGCUUAGCUCAAUUGGUAGAGCAGCUGACUUGUAAUCAGUAGGUUGUCAGUUCAAGUCCGACAGCCGGCA